GGUGGGGUUCCCGAGCGGCCAAAGGGAUCAGACUGUAAAUCUGACGCGUAAGCUUCGUUGGUUCGAAUCCAACCCCCACCACCA
rnacentral:tRNA from 1 species